AGUAAUGUCUGGGAAACUGCCUGAUGGAGGGGGAUAACUACUGGAAACGGUAGCUAAUACCGCAUAACGUCUUCGGACCAAAGUGGGGGACCUUCGAGCCUCACGCCAUCGGAUGUGCCCAGAUGGGAUUAGCUAGUAGGUGGGGUAAUGGCUCACCUAGGCGACGAUCCCUAGCUGGUCUGAGAGGAUGACCAGCCACACUGGAACUGAGACACGGUCCAG
rnacentral:rRNA from 1 species